rnacentral:rRNA from 1 species
GACGAACGCUGGCGGCGUGCCUAAUACAUGCAAGUCGAACGCAGUGGGGACGGGUGCGUAACACGUGGGUAACCUCCCAUCAGAGGGGAUAACACUUGGAAACAGGUGCUAAACCGAUACUGAUGGAUGGACCCGCGUUGCAUUAGCUAGUUGGUGAGGUAACGGCUCACCAAGGCCACGAUGCAUAGCCGACCUGAGGGGGUGUUCGGCCACACUGGGACUGAGCCACGGCCCAGACUCCUGCGUGAUGCAGACGGAGGGAUUCUUCGGCAAUGGACGUAAGUCUGACCGAGCAACGCAGCGUGGGUGAAGAAGGUUUUCUGAUCGUAAUACUCUGUUGUUAGAGAAGCCGUAUCUACCCAGAACGCCACGGCGAACUACUUGACAGCAGCCGCGGUAAUAC